AGUUGGUAUUAUUGAUAGUGCCGUCACGUGACUCUCCUCACGGAGAUUAUACAUAUACCAGCACAUUUUUCUACAAUCCUAGGAUAACGAGAUGGUAUUCCUUCUAACCUCAUCGACACUCUCUUUCUCUCUCUCUUUCUCUUUUACACUAUAACUAAAAGAAGACACUCGAAAGCUUUUAUAAUAAACGCGAAUCGAUAGAAUUGUUGAACUCUUCCUUUCAUGUUACCCUGUUUCAUGGUAUUCUAAGUUUGGUAUCAGAUGGCGACCGUUGAUGGACAAGGUAACCAAACGAAUCUCAUACAAAGAAGUCGACACGAGAAGAAGAAGAAGAAGAAGGAGAAGAAGAAGAAGAAGAAGAAGAAGAAGAAGAAGAAGAAGAAGAACAAGUAGUGUAGUGAUAAUAGUAGUGGUGUACUCGUUCUGUAAUUUGUAAUCGAAGGAUUCUCAAGUCUCUCGAAGAUACCCCAGAGAGCUUCGGAAUAGAUAACUAUUGAAUAAUACAUGACUAUUAAUAAUUAAAAGUAAGUAGGAAAAGAGAUUAAAGAUUGGCUAAAGGUACUCUAAAUUUUCUUAUGAAGAAUUACUAUGAGAUAGUUUUGAAACAAUAUAAAUCUGUUCUGACUAUGGAUCAUUCUAAAAUAAUAUUAAUCACUGUUAUAAGGUGUUAUAGAAUGAUUGAGUGAAAGAAAUGGAGAAAGAGAAAGAGAAAAAGAGAGAGAGAGAGAGAGAGAGAGAGAGAGAGAGAGAGAGAGAGAGAGAGAGAAUAGAUUCCUAGGUGGUGAUUCUCUCCCUUCUAACUUGUCAUAUCAAAAACUUGCUAAAGUUAGGCACAGCUUAUGAUAGUACAUUAUGAUGUCAAAUUUUAAGAUAUUCUGAAUACUUAUGAAGAUCAUGAUUUGCAUAAAUCUGAACACCAUGUAUAUGCAGGUAUAGGAAGUAAUAUCAUCAAAUUACAAUAAAGAUAAUAAUCAGAAUAUAUCAAUUCAACGCAUGAUGCGUACGUAUGAAUAUUAAUUACAUCGCAGGUGACAUUGUUCAGGCAUACAUGGAUGUUGAGGAGGUUUCCAGAGUAUGUUCGUUGAAAAACAAGCAUUCGAGAGAUUUCGCCGAGAGACUUCCUGAUUUAUGAUUCACUUCCGGGCCGAGAUAUUUGAAGAGGUCGAUGAUUGAAAAAGGAAAGAAUGACAAUGAGAAUUCUAAUGUCAGUACGUAUAAGGAAAAUUAUCAUAAGAAUUCUUCGAUCGGAUGUUACCCUGUGAGAAAAGCGUGGGUGGAAUCCCAACGAGCCGAACAAGAACCGACAACUUCCGACGAGUUUUACUCCGAUCAGAGUAGCAUGAUAUCGGCUAUAGAAUCAACAGGUAAUAUAAAAGCGAUGCCGCCAUCUUGUUAAAGCAGACCAAUUCACAAUACAGCAAAAGAGAGAGAGAAAACGAAAGAGAGAGAGAGAGAAAGCGAGAGAGAGAGAGAGAGAGAGAGAGAGAGAGAAAGCGAGAGAGAGUGAGAGAGAGAGAGAGAAGAGAAAAGCUUUCUCGUCGAGGAUGCUUGCCUGCUUCGAAUAUGUGAAUAUAUUUUAUUCAACCCUUUCCCUCGGGCUCGGGAUUAAAUUAUUCUUGUCAAAGGGUUCUCACUUUGAUCCCUUUCAGGGAUCAUCUCAACUAAAUGCAACAGGAACUCGUUCGAUAAUAAAACAGAAAGAAAGAGAGAGAGAGAAAGAGAUAGAGAAAGAGAGAGAGAGAAAUAUAGAAAUGAGGGUGCGAGAGAGACAGACAGAGAGAGGGAGAGAGAGAGAGAGAGAGAGAGAAAGAGAGAUAAAAAGAGAAAGGAUAGAGCGAGAGAAAGAGAGAGAGAGAGAGAGACAUGAAUUGGCUUUCUUUUUCUAUUUUUCGAAUUUUUAUUAUCAUCGAAACCAAAGAAAUACUAAAUGAAUGUCGUCAUUGUUCAAGAAUAAAAGAGAAAAAGAAAGAGAAAAAGUAAAGUAAUGAGAGUGGGAAAAAGAGAGAAAGUAUACUAAUUAAUUGACUUUCUUUUAAGGAUUCUUAUUAUCGCUUGAAUCUUCGAAUAUCCGAAUAAUUGUUUCUUUUUUUUCUCUCAACGUUCUGUCAAAAUCAUUUUGAUUUAUUGCCAUAUUUAUGAUCGCUUAAUUACAUAAUUAUUAUAUUGUUAUUAUAUUAAAUGUAAACAAUGAUGACACAUUGAUUAAUUGUCACUUGUUGCCAGAAAUUGUGCA